UACGAAGGGGGCUAGCGUUGUUCGGAAUUACUGGGCGUAAAGCGCGCGCAGGCGGUCUUCCAAGUCAGUGGUGAAAGCCUGGAGCUCAACUCCAGAACUGCCAUUGAAACUGUUAGACUUGAGUACGAGAGAGGUGAGUGGAAUUCCCAGUGUAGAGGUGAAAUUCGUAGAUAUUGGGAAGAACACCAGUGGCGAAGGCGGCUCGCUGGCUCGUAACUGACGCUCAGGCGCGACAGCGUGGGGAGCAAACAGG
rnacentral:rRNA from 1 species